AGUGGGCGUGCAGGAGAAGCUGUAGGUCAGGAGGUAGAGUUGGCAGUGGGCGUGCAGGAGAAGCUGUAGGUCGGAGAGGUAGAGUUGGCAGUGGGCGUGCAGGAGAAGCUGUAGGUCGGAGAGGUAGAGGUGGCAGUGGGCGUGCAGGAGAAGCUGUAGGUCAGAGUGGAGAGGUGGCAGUGGGCGUGCAGGAGAAGCUGUAGGUCGGGAGGUAGAGGUGGCAGUGGGCGUGCAGGAGAAGCUGUAGGUCGGAGAGGGUGCAGAGUGGAGAACAGAUGAGCUGGAGUCACACCAUGCCCUAUACCCAGCCAGAGGCCGAAGUGAGCCUGUCACGGUAAUGCCACUGCCUGCUUGAUUCCCUCCCAUGCCUAGCCUGGGUUCUUCAUGAUCCCUGAGGCCCUCUUUGAUGUCAUCCCGCUGCCUCAAAACCUGUGUGUGCUGGUGGCUCCCUCUGCUUUCCUUCCAGAUGACUCCUUCGCUUCAGCUCAAAUGUCACCUUUGGCUGUUAAAAUCCUUUCCGGAGGAAGUUGUAAACAAUGCCUACCCCUCCUCCCGA
rnacentral:lncRNA from 1 species